UACGAAGGGGGCUAGCGUUGUUCGGAAUCACUGGGCGUAAAGCGCACGUAGGCGGAUCUUUAAGUCAGGGGUGAAAUCCCGAGGCUCAACCUCGGAACUGCCUUUGAUACUGAGGAUCUUGAGUUCGGGAGAGGUGAGUGGAACUGCGAGUGUAGAGGUGAAAUUCGUAGAUAUUCGCAAGAACACCAGUGGCGAAGGCGGCUCACUGGCCCGAUACUGACGCUGAGGCGCGAAAGCUAGGGGAGCAAACGGG
rnacentral:rRNA from 1 species